rnacentral:ncRNA from 1 species
UAUAUUUAAGUUGUUGCAGUUAAAAAGCUCGUAGUUGAACCUUGGGAUGGGUCGCCCGGUCCGCCAUCGGUGAGCACCGGUCGGCUUGUCUCUUCUAUCAACGAUAUGCUCCUGGCCUUAACUGGCCGGGUCGUGCCUCCAGCGCUGUUACUUUGAAGAAAUUAGAGUGCUCAAAGCAAGCCUACGCUCUGUAUACAUUAGCAUAGGAUAACAUCAUAGGAUUUCGAUCCUAUUGUGUUGGCCUAUCGGAGUAAUGAUUAAUAGGGACAGUCGGGGCAUUCAUAUUUCAUAGUCAGAGGUGAAAUUCUUGGAUAUGUGAAAGGCGAAAAACUGCAAAAGCAUUUUCCAAGGAUGUUUUCAUUAAUUAAGAACGAAAGUUGGGGGCUCGAAGAUGAUCAGAUACCGUCCUAGUCUCAACCAUAAACCAUACCGACCAGGGAUCAGCGGAUGCUGCUUUUAUGACUCUGCUGGCAGCUUAUGAGAAAUCAAAGUUUUUGGGUUCCGGGGGGAGUAUGGUCGCAAGGCUGAAACUUAAAGGAAUUGACGGAAGGUCACCACCAGGAGUGGACCCUGCGGCUUAAUUUGACUUAACACGGGGAAACUUACCAGGUCCAGACAUAGUAAGGAUUGACAGACUGAGAGCUCUUUCUUGAUUCUAUGGGUGGUGGUGCAUGGCCGUUCUUAGUUGGUGGAGCAUUUUGUCUGGUUAAUUUCAUUAACGAACGAGACCUCAGCCUGCUAACUAGCUACGUGGAGGCAUCCCUUCAUGGUCGGCUUCUUAGAGGGACUAUGGCCGUUUAAGCCAAGGAAGUUUUAGGCAAUAACAGGUUUGUGAUGCCCUUAGAUGUUCUGGGCUGCACGCGAGCUAUACUGAUGUAUUCAACGAGUUCAUACCUUGGCCGACAGGCUCGGGUAAUCUUUGAAAUUUCAUCGUGAUGGGGAUUGAUCAUUGCAAUUGUUGGUCUUCAAUGAGGAAUUCCUAGUAAGCGCGAGUCAUCAACUCGCGUUGACUACGCCCCUGCCCUUUGUACACACCGCCCGUCGCUCCUACCGAUUGAAUGAUCCGCUGAAGUGUUCGGAUCGCGGAGACGUGGGUGGUUUGCCGUUUGCGACGUCGUGAGAAGUCCACUAAACCUUAUCAUUUAGAGGAAGGAGAAGUCGUAACAAGGUUUUCGUAAGUGAACCUGCGGAAGGAUCAUUG